GACGACAGCGAUCUCUGGUGGGCGCCCUUGGGACGGGAAUAGCCGCCGCUGCCGAGGCUCAGGGAGACGAGGUCGUCGGCGGUGGGCGCCGGCGUGGAGGCGGCAGGGAGCUUGUCGGCGGCCGGUGCCUGCUGCUUGACCUUGACGGCGUCGUGGAAGUGCGUCUGGAGCGACUGGUAGUCCCUGACGAUGUGGGAGAGCAGCGUCUUGAGGCGCUCGUUCUCCUCCCUCACCUCGCCCAUCUCCGCCUUGGUCGCCU
rnacentral:lncRNA from 1 species